rnacentral:rRNA from 1 species
AGUGAACGCUGGCGGUAGGCCUAACACAUGCAAGUCGAACGGCAGCACAGUAAGAGCUUGCUCUUACGGGUGGCGAGUGGCGGACGGGUGAGGAAUACAUCGGAAUCUACUUUUUCGUGGGGGAUAACGUAGGGAAACUUACGCUAAUACCGCAUACGACCUACGGGUGAAAGCAGGGGAUCUUCGGACCUUGCGCGACUGAAUGAGCCGAUGUCGGAUUAGCUAGUUGGCGGGGUAAAGGCCCACCAAGGCGACGAUCCGUAGCUGGUCUGAGAGGAUGAUCGGCCAACCUGAAACUGAGACACGGUCCAGACUCCUACGGGAGGCAGCGGUGGGGAAUAUUGGACAAUGGGCGAAAGCCUGAUCCAGCCAGACUGCGUGGGUGAAGAAGGCCUUCGGGUUGUAAAGCCCUUUUGUUGGGAAAGAAAAGCAGCAGGUUAAUACCCCGCUGUUCUGACGGUACCAAAAGAAUAAGCACCGGCUAACUUCGU